GAAGACCCCAUGGAGCUUUAAACCCAAUUAUAUCUCUAACCACUAUAACCAUUUAACCACUUAGAACUUAUAUACUUGGUUUUAGGUUGGGGCGACCACGGAGCACAACCAAACCUCCACGAUGAACGGAACAACCCCCUUAUCUGAGAAUUACACUUCUAAGAAUUAGCACACUAACAUAAAAUGACCCAUUAUUGAUCAACGAACCAAGUUACCCUGGGGAUAACAGCGCAAUCCAUUUUAAGAGCCCCUAUCGACAAAU
rnacentral:rRNA from 1 species